rnacentral:rRNA from 1 species
GACGAACGCUGGCGGCGUGCUUAACACAUGCAAGUCGAACGGAAAGGCCCUGCUUUUGUGGGGUGCUCGAGUGGCGAACGGGUGAGUAACACGUGAGUAACCUGCCCUUGACUUUGGGAUAACUUCAGGAAACUGGGGCUAAUACCGGAUAGGAGCUCCUGCUGCAUGGUGGGGGUUGGAAAGUUUCGGCGGUUGGGGAUGGACUCGCGGCUUAUCAGCUUGUUGGUGGGGUAGUGGCUUACCAAGGCUUUGACGGGUAGCCGGCCUGAGAGGGUGACCGGGCAGAAUGGGGUUGAGAUGAGGCCAGGGCGGGAUCGGGGGGCAGCCAGCGGGCGUGGUGGACGAUGGCCGGCGGCUGGAUACAGCAAUUCCGCGUGCGGGAAGGGGGGUUUCGGGUAAUAAGCCAAUAACGACCGUGAAAAAGCGUGCGUGAAGGUGCGGGAAAAAGAAGCAACGGCUCACUACGAG